GACGAACCGUGCGAACGUUGUUCGGAAUCACUGGGCUUAAAGGGCGCGUAGGCGGGUGACCAAGUCAGGGGUGAAAUCUUUCGGCCCAACCGGAAAAGUGCCUCUGAUACUGGUCGUCUUGAGGGAGGUAGGGGUCGAGGGGAACUGGUGGUGGAGCGGUGAAAUGCGUAGAUAUCACUAGGAACGCCGGUGGCGAAAGCGCUCGACUGGACCUCUCUGACGCUGAGGCGACGAAAAGCCAGGGGAGGCGAAACGGG
rnacentral:rRNA from 1 species